AACAUUGCCUCUUGAAUAUAUAUGAGGUACAUCCUGCCCAGUGACUAAAUUUAGUUAAACGGCCGCGGUACUCUGACCGUGCUAAGGUAGCAUAAUCAUUUGCCUCUUAAUUGGUGGCUAGUAUGAAAGGACAAAUGAGAGCCUUACUGUCUCUUACUUACCUAUAUAAACUAACCUUCAGACGAAAAGGUCUGAAUAAAAUUAUAAGACAAGAAGACCCUGUCAAGCUUUACUAGAAAAUUUUACAACUGAAAAUGAAAAUUAUUCACUUCUAUAAUAUACUAGUUUAGUUGGGGCGACUGGGGACCAUAAAAAGCGUCCCCCCACUACAUAAGGACUAUAAUCACCUAAAAUGAUCCCAUAUAGGAACAAGAGAUAAGCUACUGCAGGGAUAACAGGCUAAUUUUCCCUGAGAGUCCAAAUCGAAGGGAAAGAUUGGCACCUCGAUGUUGGCUUAAGACAACCAUAAAGUGCAGCAGCUUUAUACGGUAGGUAUGU
rnacentral:rRNA from 1 species